rnacentral:lncRNA from 1 species
GGGGCACUCCGCCCAGACGGGAAGAGGCAGGUGACUCUGGAUGGGCAGGUAAUGGGCCGGCACAGGGCUGUAGGGUGGCCUGGGAUGGGCAGAAGGAGACAAGAAAGAGGCUGGAGUCGGGGCACGAGUAGGACAUGGGGAAGAGCCAUGGAGGUGGCAAGGACCGUGGGUUUAACUCUGCAGGGUAAUUGGGAGCAAUGGAGGGUAUGUGAGCAGAGGAGGGAUAUGGCGGGGUUCAGGUGUUCGUAGACUUCCCCUGGCUGCCAGGUGGGGGCCAGAUUGUGAGGGGCUGGGGUGCAAACGGGCAGGCCAGGGGUCGGCCAUGUCCAUCUAGAUGGGAGAUAAUAAACAACCCGUUAAGAGCAGUCUAAUUAACCCCCAUUUUACAGGGAAGGAAACUGAGGCACAGAGGGAAACUCUCCUGGCCAAGUCAGGGUGCAAAACCACCAAAUGUUGCGCCGCCUGGCUUCACCAUAAUUAACGCGGCCAGCUCCCUAACGGGCUGUCACAGUAAAGGCUGCAGUAAAGCUCUUUCACUUCCUGGCUUUCCUCUCAUUCGAAUUCCUUUUCUUAGGAAAAAUUUCCAGGCUUUUCCAAAGAUGGAAAAAAAAAAAAAAAAAACACCAAAAAAAAACCCCAGAAAACGAAAACAUUUUUUUCCCUGGCUCUCUGUGAGUUUCGCCCAAUUAUUUCCCCCUCAGACCAACAUGCACCGGACGUGAAUGGCUAUUUUCCAGCCGCCCUGGCAGCACGGAGGGUUUCUUUUUGGGGGACAGGGGGCGGGGGCUGGUUGUGUUGUUUUGUUUUAAGUUUUGGCACAGGCCCUGGCCCAUGGAUGAGUCUGCCCGGGGGCCGCACCCUGGGGAUGAUGACCGGGGUCAGGCCUCCGCAAGCCUCUCACACUCCCCACAGCUGCCCCAGCUUGACCUUCCAGAAGGCUGCCUCAGGUCCAAGUCUGGCGGGGAGGUGACCUACCGUGUCCACCUGCACAUGCUGUCCUGCCCGUGUAAGCCCAAGGCCACAAAGACCUUGCAGCUGAGAAGGUUCAUCAAUAUCUCCGGCGCCGCCUAUGACCUGGCUGUCGUCUCCCAGAAUCGCUUCGGCCCGGGCCCCAACCAGACGUGGCACAUUCCUGCCCAUGCCCACACCCACCCAGGUGUCUCCUCUGGCCGGGGAGGGCUGCGGGAGGGCCUCUGGGAUCUGAGAACCUACUCUGAGCCUCCGCCAGGCAGGGGGGCCGGGGUAGGGGGGGAGCGGGGAGGCAGGUGAGGCACAAAGUGAAGGGGGUGUCAAAUUUAAGAACGUGGCAAAAUCAACUAAUUAGGGCAUGUCAUGUUACAACGCAGUAUUUAAAGCAAACGCGCAAACAACAAAACUCUAGCUGGCAAAGUACAGCCCAGACCAACCACCUGUUUUUGUAAAUAAACUUGUACGGGGACCAGGGUGAGAUCAGGGUGUGGUGGGCGAGGCGGGCACAGGAUUGAUCCUAUCUUCACUUAAAAUCUUGAUAUCUGGGGCGCCUGGGUGGCUUAGUCAUGAAGCAUCUGACUUCGGCUCAGGUCAUGAUCUCACGGGUUCGUGAGUUCGAGUUCCGCAGCAGGGGAGCUCCAGCCCCGCUUCGGGGGAGCCCCGCUUCUCCCUCUGUCUUCCUGUCUCUCCCUCUCUCUCGCUUGCGCCCCCCCCAGCAUAAAAUAAAAAUCUUGAUGUUUGUUCAUUAUGUAUACAUAUACAUAAUUAAAUAUGUACAUGUAUUUAUACGUAUGAUGAAACAAAUCAAGAUUUAUAUUUAUGUAUACGGGCACGUAUGCGCACACACAUAUUUUAUUGAGGUGAAAUUCGCGUAGCAACACCAGCCACUUUAACAGGUGCGAUUCAGUGGCAUUUAGGACAUUCGCAGUGAUGCGCAACCAUCACCUCUGUUCGGUUCCAGAACAUUUCUAUCACCCUCAAAGGGAGACCCCGUGCCCAUCAGCCGUCACUCUCCAUCCCCCUUCUCCCCAGCCCUUGGCAACCACUAACCCGCUUUCUGUCUCUAUAGAUUUCACGGAAACGGGGUCACAUACCACGUGGCCUCUUGUAUCUGGCUUCUUUCACCAGCAUAACGUUUUCCAAGUUCAUCCACGUUUCCUUUUUAUGACCGAGGAAUAUUCUAUCGCGUGGCCGGGACCCCGGCGCAUCGACCUGUUCAUCCGCAGAUGAACACUUGGGCUGUUUCCACCUUUUGGCGAUUGUAAAUUGUGCCCAUCGCAUACUUUUCCGUUCAUGUUUUGACUUUUUUAGCUUUAUUUAUAUUUUAUUUUAUUUUUAAUGUUUUAUUGACUUAUUUUUAAGAGAGAGAGAAAGAGAGAGCACGAGUGGGGGAGGGGCAGAGAGAGAGGGAGACACAGAAUCUGAAGCAGGUUCCAGGCUCUGAGCUGACAGCACAGAGCCCGAUCUGGGGCUCGAACCCACGAACCGUGAGAUCACGACCCCAGCCGGACGCUUAAACGACUGAGCCACCCAGGUGCCCCUUGAUUUUUUUUUUUUUUUAAUAUCGCAUUUAAAACAACAUUUACCUUGACGACUGAGUUCUUCAGCGCCUCACAUUUUGUGCCCGAUUGUUGCCUCACUCACACCCCGGUCCCGGCCCCACCGAGCCACCCUGCAACCCUGUGAGCACAGGGCUGUUACCAUGAUGCCCAUUUCAGAGAUGAGACGACUGAGGCUCAGAUGGGUGAAGCCGCUCGCACAGCAGCGAGCCAGUCAGCUCCCGGCCUGGUUUGGGUCAUGGCCCCGCUGUGUGACCUUGGGUCAGUGGCUCUCCCUCCCUGAGCCUCCGAGUCUGUGUUAGUGGGGUGAUCACGGUCCCCCUUGGUAGCGAAGGAUAUAGCAAAGCCCUCACACGGGCCCGGCGCAUAUAGUCGGCGCUCAAUACGUGCUAGUUGUGGACCCCGGAAUUAGAAGUCGUGCCCACCUCCCCAAGGUUGUUGCAGACGCCCUUGCGGGAGGGAGUGGGAGAGAUGAGCCGGGAGCUGAGUGGAUGUGUCCUUGUGCCCAGGCCAGGAGGCCCAUCCGGCACCACACCCACCCGUCACUGGGUGAGGCAGGAGGUGGGUGGCCAGACAUCUGCUGGAACAAGAGAUGCUCCCCGGGCUGGCGGGGCGGGAAGGGGAGGGGUGCGCAUGCGUGUGUGUGUGUGUGUGUGUGCGCGCGCGUACAGGCGUCGCGGACGGUGGGCGUCUUAGCAGGGAACUCAUGGUCAGACCUGGAAACGACCGAACUUAUUCAAACAGCCCCUGGGCCCGGCUCCCAGCCCGGUGGCCCCCAGUGUGAGGACACAGAGCCAGGCGCAGAUACCCGCGGCCCCGAGGGGUUAGGGUUUGGCCAGAGGAUGGCACGGGGCUACGGGAGCCUUGGACUGGCGGGAGAAGGGGGCACCUGUUCUCACGUGGCUCUCUCCGCUCCUUCCAAAACCAGGGGUUCUGAAUAUCAGCG